AGGAAUAUUGCACAAUGGGCGAAAGCCUGAUGCAGCAACGCCGCGUGAGUGAUGAAGGCCUUCGGGUUGUAAAGCUCUGUCUUCUGGGACGAUAAUGACGGUACCAGAGGAGGAAGCCACGGCUAACUACGUGCCAGCAGCCGCGGUAAUACGUAGGUGGCAAGCGUUGUCCGGAUUUACUGGGCGUAAAGGAUGCGUAGGCGGAUACUUAAGUCAGAUGUGAAAAUCCCGGGCUUAACUUGGGAACUGCAUUUGAAACUGGGUAUCUAGAGUGCGGGAGAGGAAAGUGGAAUUCCUAGUGUAGCGGUGAAAUGCGUAGAGAUUAGGAAGAACACCAGUGGCGAAGGCGACUUUCUGGACCGUAACUGACGCUGAGGCAUGAAAGCGUGGGGAGCAAACA
rnacentral:rRNA from 1 species